CUCAAGCAGAGGCCCAAAAUUCUGAGGAGCUGGAAGGCUGGGAAAAGUGGAUCUUGUCAAAACAGAACACAUCUAAGUGAGAAGAGAGAACGAGGAGAGAAGGAGGAGAUAGCAUAUCCAGCACGGUCUAGAUGCCGAAAUCCACCCUGACCCUGUAGGCAGUCCUGGAUCGUGGCUGUAAGACGGAAGUGGAGGAUGCUUCAUGAUAGGCGGAGAAGUGGGAUGAGACUCUUCCAGCUUCACUUUGUUGGCUUCUGGCUUGCCAGGCCUGAAGAUGGGAAAACUCAUGAAGU